UACGUAGGGGGCAAGCGUUGUCCGGAUCUAUUGGGCGUAAAGAGCGUGUAGGCGGCCAGACAGGUCCGUUGUGAAAACUCGAGGCUCAACCUCGAGACGCCGAUGGAAACCGUUUGGCUAGAGUCCGGAAGAGGAGAGUGGAAUUCCUGGUGUAGCGGUGAAAUGCGCAGAUAUCGGGAAGAACACCCGUGGCGAAGGCGGCUCUCUGGGACGGUACUGACGCUGAGACGCGAAAGCGUGGGGAGCGAACAGG
rnacentral:rRNA from 1 species